UGGGGAAUUUUGGACAAUGGGCGAAAGCCUGAUCCAGCAAUGCCGCGUGUGUGAAGAAGGCCUUCGGGUUGUAAAGCACUUUUGUCCGGAAAGAAAUCCUUGGCUCUAAUACAGUCGGGGGAUGACGGUACCGGAAGAAUAAGCACCGGCUAACUACGUGCCAGCAGCCGCGGUAAUACGUAGGGUGCAAGCGUUAAUCGGAAUUACUGGGCGUAAAGCGUGCGCAGGCGGUUUGCUAAGACCGAUGUGAAAUCCCCGGGCUCAACCUGGGAACUGCAUUGGUGACUGGCAGGCUAGAGUAUGGCAGAGGGGGGUAGAAUUCCACGUGUAGCAGUGAAAUGCGUAGAGAUGUGGAGGAAUACCGAUGGCGAAGGCAGCCCCCUGGGCCAAUACUGACGCUCAUGCACGAAAGCGUGGGGAGCAAACAGGAUUAGAUACCCUGGUAGUCCACGCCCUAAACGAUGUCAACUAGUUGUUGGGGGACUUCAUUUUCCUUAGUAACGUAGCUAACGCGUGAAGUUGACCGCCUGGGGAGUACGGUCGCAAGAUUAAAACUUAAAGGAAUUGACGGGGUCAUAGCUGUUUCC
rnacentral:rRNA from 1 species